rnacentral:rRNA from 1 species
AUUGAACGCUGGCGGAAUGCUUUACACAUGCAAGUCGAACGGCAGCACGGGGCAACCUGGUGGCGAGUGGCGAACGGGUGAGUAAUAUAUCGGAACGUGCCCAAUCGUGGGGGAUAACGUAGCGAAAGUUACGCUAAUACCGCAUACGAUCUACGGAUGAAAGCGGGGGAUCGCAAGACCUCGCGCGAAUGGAGCGGCCGAUAUCAGAUUAGGUAGUUGGUGGGGUAAAGGCUCACCAAGCCAACGAUCUGUAGCUGGUCUGAGAGGACGACCAGCCACACUGGAACUGAGACACGGUCCAGACGCCUACGGGAGGCAGCAGUGGGGAAUUUUGGACAAUGGGCGCAAGCCUGAUCCAGCCAUUCCGCGUGCAGGAUGAAGGCCUUCGGGUUGUAAACUGCUUUUGUACGGAACGAAACGGCCUGUCCUAAUACGAUGGGCUAAUGACGGUACCGUAAGAAUAAGCACCGGCUAACUACGUG